CUUACUAGGUCAGGACACAGUAAGGAUUGACAGAUUGAAAGCUCUUUCUUGAUUUUGUGGAUGGUGGUGCAUGGCCGUUUUUAGUUGGUGGAUUGAUUUGUCUGGUUAAUUCCGAAAACGAACGAGACCUUAACCUGUUAACUAUGUGAUGUUAAAAUUCGACUUCGGUCUCAAUAUUUGAUAUUAAAAAUUUAAUACUUCUUAAAGGAACAAUUCAAACUUUAAUUGAAUGGAAGUUUAAGGCAAAAACAGGUCUGUGAUGCCCUUCGAUGUUCUGGGCUGCACGCGCGUUACACUGAUAUGUUCAAUGAGUUUUAAAUUCCUAGUCUGAAAAGACGUGGUAAACUUAGAAAAACAUAUACGUGAUUGGAAUAGUAUUUUGUAAUUUAUCGCACUUGAACGAGGAA
rnacentral:rRNA from 1 species